rnacentral:lncRNA from 1 species
AGGUCAGGAAAGCCUGAACUUUCUCAUCCAACACCCGUUCAAGUCGGAGGAUGCUGAUUAAUUCAUGAUGGAAAGGUAUCAAUUUCACAGCCCAGACCUCUACAUUCUUGAAAUGCUCUUCUCAUGGGAGACAUUAAAUAAGCUUUGAAUUAACUUGCCAUGACACCCAGGAUGCAGCUGUAGGAACACCACUGGGUCCCUGGAUGUCAUGUAAGCCCUUAAGUAAAAGUGCCAUCAAAUGAUUUCUCAGAAAUUAUAAAGAAACAAAAGGACCAUAAACAAGAUAAGGUGGCAUGAGGAAACAUUACAAGUACCUUUCAGAGCUGACUGGCAAAGAAACUCCUGAGGUGACGGUUCUACCCCAAUAUUACUUCUUCGAAGAGCAACCUAACUGACCUUGUAUUGAAGACAGCGUAACCCCCAAGAGGAAAGGAGCUUGGAGCCCUGAAUCAGAGUAGAAGACAGGCUGAAUGAAUACCAGCCUUGGACUGUUGUGUGAAUGAAAAACAAGUUUUGAGAUUUGUGUGGUUUAUUUAUUAUAGUUACUGUUAUUAUUAAAGUUUUUCACUGCUUUACUCUCAG